rnacentral:rRNA from 1 species
AGUGAACGCUGGCGGUAGGCCUAACACAUGCAAGUCGAACGGCAGCACAGUAAGAGCUUGCUCUUACGGGUGGCGAGUGGCGGACGGGUGAGGAAUACAUCGGAAUCUACUUUUUCGUGGGGGAUAACGUAGGGAAACUUACGCUAAUACCGCAUACGACCUACGGGUGAAAGCAGGGGAUCUUCGGACCUUGCGCGAUUGAAUGAGCCGAUGUCGGAUUAGCUAGUUGGCGGGGUAAAGGCACACCAAGGCGACGCUCCGUAGCUGGUCUGAGAGGAUGAUCAGCCACACUGUAAGUGAGACACGGUCCAGACUCCUGCGGGAGGAAGCAGUGGGGAAUAUUGGACAAUGGGCGCAAGCCGGAUCCAGCCAUACCGCGUGAGUGAUGAAGGCCUUCGGGUUGGAAAGCCCUUUUGGUGGGAAAGAAAAGCAGCAGGUUAAUACCCCGCUAUUCUGACGGUACCCAAAGAAUAAGCACCGGCUAACUUCGUG